rnacentral:rRNA from 1 species
UACGUAGGGGGCAAGCGUUGUCCGGAAUCAUUGGGCGUAAAGAGCGUGUAGGCGGCCAGAAAAGUCCGCUGUGAAAACUCGAGGCUCAACUUCGAGCUGUCGGUGGAAACUUUCUGGCUAGAGUCCGGAAGAGGAGAAUGGAAUUCCAGGUGUAGCGGUGAAAUGCGUAGAUAUCUGGAGGAACACCGGUGGCGAAGGCGGCAUCCUGGACCGGUAUUGACGCUGAGGCGCGAAAGCCAGGGGAGCAAACAGG